GCUUGUCUCAAAGAUUAAGCCAUGCAUGUCUAAGUAUAAGCCUUUGUACGGCGAAACUGCGAAUGGCUCAUUAAAACAGUUAUAGUUUAUUUGAUGGUUCUUGCUACUUGGAUAACCGUAGUAAUUCUAGAGCUAAUACAUGCAUCAAACCCCGACUUCUGGAAGGGGUGUAUUUAUUAGAUGGAAACCAAUGCGGGGCAACCCGGAUUCUGGUGAUUCAUAAUAACUUUCGGAUCGAUCUUCGGAUCGAUGCAUCAUUCAAGUUUCUGCCCUAUCAGCUUUGGAUGGUAGGGUAUUGGCCUACCAUGGCUUUAACGGGUAACGGAGAAUUAGGGUUCGAUUCCGGAGAGGGAGCCUGAGAAAUGGCUACCACAUCCAAGGAAGGCAGCAGG
rnacentral:rRNA from 1 species